UUUGAUCAUAAAAUGCAAGUGAAUUGAAGCAUGCUUGAGAAUGGAUUUUUGGGGAUUCGAAUUGGCUAGUUCUGACAUGGUUUGCUUCACCAACCAACUGGUUUUGGUCCUUAGCACCAAACAAGUGCAACCAAGGGCAUUGUAGUGACCUGCUAUGCAUUUGACUUUUAACCAUUUUGAAAAAAAAAAUAGAAAUUGCACAUGGCUCGAGUUUCUUGGGUUGUGACCUUUUUACACCAUGGUUGACUUCCAAACGUACCACACUACCAUAUGAAAUGUG
rnacentral:lncRNA from 1 species